rnacentral:rRNA from 1 species
GCGAGCGGCGGAUGGGUGAGUAACACGUGGGGAACCUGCCCCUAAGUCUGGGAUACCAUUUGGAAACAGGUGCUAAUACCGGAUAAUAAAGCAGAUCGCAUGAUCAGCUUUUGAAAGGCGGCGUAAGCUGUCGCUAAGGGAUGGCCCCGCGGUGCAUUAGCUAGUUGGUAAGGUAACGGCUUACCAAGGCGACGAUGCAUAGCCGAGUUGAGAGACUGAUCGGCCACAUUGGGACUGAGACACGGCCCAAACUCCUACGGGAGGCAGCAGUAGGGAAUCUUCCACAAUGGACGCAAGUCUGAUGGAGCAACGCCGCGUGAGUGAAGAAGGUUUUCGGAUCGUAAAGCUCUGUUGUUGGUGAAGAAGGAUAGAGGUAGUAACUGGCCUUUAUUUGACGGUAAUCAACCAGAAAGUCACGGCUAACUACGUGCCAGCAGCCGCGGUAAUACGUAGGUGGCAAGCGUUGUCCGGAUUUAUUGGGCGUAAAGCGAGCGCAGGCGGAAAAAUAAGUCUAAUGUGAAAGCCCUCGGCUUAACCGAGGAACUGCAUCGGAAACUGUUUUUCUUGAGUGCAGAAGAGGAGAGUGGAACUCCAUGUGUAGCGGUGGAAUGCGUAGAUAUAUGGAAGAACACCAGUGGCGAAGGCGGCUCUCUGGUCUGCAACUGACGCUGAGGCUCGAAAGCAUGGGUAGCGAACAGGAUUAGAUACCCUGGUAGUCCCAUGCCGUAAACGAUGAGUGCUAAGUGUUGGGAGGUUUCCGCCU